GACGAACGCUGGCGGCGUGCCUAAUACAUGCAAGUCGAGCGCAGGAAGUCGACGGAACCCUUCGGGGGGAAGUCGACGGAAUGAGCGGCGGACGGGUGAGUAACACGUAAAGAACCUGCCCUCAGGUCUGGGAUAACCACGAGAAAUCGGGGCUAAUACCGGAUGGGUCAUCGGACCGCAUGGUCCGAGGAUGAAAGGCGCUCCGGCGUCGCCUGGGGAUGGCUUUGCGGUGCAUUAGCUAGUUGGUGGGGUAAUGGCCCACCAAGGCGACGAUGCAUAGCCGACCUGAGAGGGUGAUCGGCCACACUGGGCCUGAGACACGGCCCAGACUCCUACGGGAGGCAGCAGUAGGGAAUCUUCCACAAUGGACGGAAGUCUGAUGGAGCAACGCCGCGUGAACGAUGAAGGCCUUCGGGUCGUAAAGUUCUGUUGUAAGGGAAGAACAAGUGCCGCAGGCAAUGGCGGCACCUUGACGGUACCUUGCGAGAAAGCCACGGCUAACUACGUGCCAGCCGCCGCGGUAAUAC
rnacentral:rRNA from 1 species